rnacentral:rRNA from 1 species
GACGAACGCUGGCGGCGUGCUUAACACGUGCAAGUCCCACGAGGACGGGAGCUUGCUCCCGAGCCGAGUGGCGGACGGGUGAGUAACACGUGACCAACCUGUCCUAGGGUGAGGGACAACCUGGGGAAACCCGGGCUAAUACCGCAUGAUGUCUCGAGGUCGCAUGGCCAUGAGAUCAAAGAGGGCCUCUGCUUGCAAGCUCUCGCCCUGGGAGGGGGUCGCGGCGUAACAGCUAGUUGGUGAGGUAACGGCCCACCAAGGCUACGACGCGUAGCGGGUCUGAGAGGACGACCCGCCUCAUUGGGACUGAGAUACGGCCCAGACUCCUACGGGAGGCAGCAGUGGGGAAUAUUGCGCAAUGGACGAAAGUCUGACGCAGCGACGCCGCGUGUGGGAGGAAGCUCUUCGGGGUGUAAACCACUGUCAGGAGGGAAGAAACUCGCAGGACCGAACAGGCCCGGCGAUUGACGGUACCUCCAAAGGAAGCGCCGGCUAACUCCGUGCCAGCACG